UCUUACAGAUGCUAGAUUUGCCUAUUUCCUCAUGGAACAUUUAACCUCUCGUCCCUGCUAUUUCCUGCAAACUGAAAGUUAACUCUAGAGCUUGACUGAUAGCUUCAGAUUAAAAAUUUUUGCAUUUGUAUUUGCAGAAGAGAAGAUUUACUUCCUCUGUGGGUAACCAGGUUAUCAGGCUUGGUGUUUUCCAAAGAAAAGCUGGGUAGAUUGCAUUAGGGGCUGGAGCCCCAGGCAUGAUCUGUCUGUCUCGCUAGUGCCACAGUUAUGCAUGUUGUGUUCCUCUAGAGUGAGUUUCAGCAAAGGUGAGUG
rnacentral:lncRNA from 1 species